rnacentral:rRNA from 1 species
AUUGAACGCUGGCGGCAUGCUUUACACAUGCAAGUCGAACGGUAACAGGCCGCAAGGUGCUGACGAGUGGCGAACGGGUGAGUAAUGCAUCGGAACGUGCCCAGUCGUGGGGGAUAACGCAGCGAAAGCUGCGCUAAUACCGCAUACGAUCUAUGGAUGAAAGCGGGGGACCGUAAGGACUCGCGCGAUUGGAGCGGCCGAUGUCAGAUUAGGCAGUUGGUGGGGUAAAGGCUCACCAAGCCAACGAUCUGUAGCUGGUCUGAGAGGACGACCAGCCACACUGGGACUGAGACACGGCCCAGACUCCUACGGGAGGCGGCAGUGGGGAAUUUUGGACAAUGGGCGCAAGCCUGAUCCAGCAAUGCCGCGUGCAGGAAGAAGGCCUUCGGGUUGUAAACUGCUUUUGUACGGAACGAAACGGUCCUGGUUAAUACCUGGGGUCGAUGACGGUACCGUAAGAAUAAGCACCGGCUAACUACGUGCCAGCCGCCGCCGUAA